GACCUCCGGUUUACCGGUUGUGGCGCCAGCCGCAUCGCCGGGUAUCCGCGUCCGGAUCGGAUAAGCGCUGAAAGCAUCUAAGCGCGAAGCCUGUCGCAAGAUAAGUUUUCCUUAUAGGGUCGUCAAAGACUAUGACGUUGAUAGGGUGCAGGUGUAAAGGCGGUGACGCCAAAGCCGAGCACUACUAAUUGCCCGAAACUUUUGUCCA
rnacentral:rRNA from 1 species